AUCAACGCUGGCGGCGUGCCUAACACAUGCAAGUCGAACGAGAAAGUCCCCGCAAGGGGAUGAGUACAGUGGCGAACGGGUGAGUAACACGUGACUAACCUGCCUUCGAGUGGGGGAUAACCCCGGGAAACCGGGGCUAAUACCGCAUAACAUCCCGAGGUGGAACUCCUUGGGAUCAAAGGGGUAAGACGCUUGAAGAGGGGGUCGCGGCUGAUUAGCUAGUUGGCGGGGUAACGGCCCACCAAGGCAAUGAUCAGUAGCCGGCCUGAGAGGGCGCACGGCCACACUGGAACUGAAACACGGUCCAGACUCCUACGGGAGGCAGCAGUGGGGAAUUUUGCGCAAUGGGGGAAACCCUGACGCAGCAACGCCGCGUGGAGGAUGAAGUCCCUUGGGACGUAAACUCCUUUCGACCGGGACGAUAAUGACGGUACCGGUGGAAGAAGCCCCGGCUAACUUCGU
rnacentral:rRNA from 1 species